AAUAGAUACCCAGGUAGUCCACGCCGUAAACGUUGGAUACUAGGUGUGGCGGUCUACCAACGACUGCCGUGCCGAAGCUAACGCAUUAAGUAUCCCGCCUGGGGAGUACGGCCGCAAGGCUAAAACUCAAAGGAAUUGACGGGUCCCCGCACAAGCGGCGGAGCAUGCGGCUUAAUUCGAUGCAACCCGAAGAACCUUACCUGGGUUUGACAUCAUGGGAAAAGCCGUAGAAGUACGGUGUCCGAAAGGGCCCAUGACAGGUGGUGCAUGGCUGUCGUCAGCUCGUGUCGUGAGAUGUUGGGUUAAGUCCCGCAACGAGCGCAACCCUUGUCCUAUGUUGCCAGCGGUUCGGCCGGGGACUCAUAGGAGACUGCCGGAGAUAACUCGGAGGAAGGUGAGGACGACGUCAAGUCAUCAUGCCCCUUAUAUCCAGGGCUGCACGCAUGCUACAAUGGCCGGUACAACGGGAAGCGACCCCGCGAGGGUGAGCGAAUCCCUUAAAGCCGGUCCCAGUUCGGAUUGAAGUCUGCAACUCGACUUCA
rnacentral:rRNA from 1 species